rnacentral:lncRNA from 1 species
CUCCUUGCUGCUGCCGCUGUGACAAGCUGGCUCUGAAAGAAAGGCAGUCCACAGGGAUCUGGACUAAUUCACUGUGGCAAUCUAGCAAAUGUUGUCAGAAAGGAUUUCAGCUUCCACGCUGGCUCUGAUCCCGAACCAAGGAGGGAAGCCAUUGAAUGCUCAGGGCAAAAACCUACAGUGGCAUCAGACUCCUGUUUCUGACAUGGCUUAAUUGGAGACUGUCAGCCUCUGACUUCAAAGGUCAAGCCCUGGGUCACUUACUGCAUCCAGAGGGCAGGAAGUUCCUGGCUCCAGAGGUGGGGUCCGUGUGUCUGUCCCGCCAGCUUGGAAGAAGAAGGAUGGAUAGUUUGCAUCACCUACUGAAGAGAGUGACCAAACAUUGUGUCAGGUGGACAUGCAAUGAGGUGUACGACGAUCAGAUGGCGAUGAAUCACACUGAGCUGUCUUCAUGCUUAUUCUCCCGAGCAUCCUUUCAAGCUAAGAAGAGCCCAGCUAGACAGCUUCCUGACUGGCCUCACAGGGCAUAUUGGAAAGGAGUGUAUCGGCAAUAAAGACUGCUGAGACAUGCCAAACUGCCUGGAAAAAGCAUGAGUUCAGAAGCCUGGAAGAAGCAAAGACCAGCCAAGCAGCUUAGAAGAAACAAGAACCAGCCUAGCUGCCAGGAAGAGGCUCACACAAUGGAGGCAUGCAGAACUAACACCCUCUGACCUAUUGAGCUGCCUGCAGGCUGUGCAGUGGGCCCCAGGUUCCCAGUUUUUGUGAGCUGUCAACCAUGGGGGCUGUGGGAGGGCUUUGGUGAUGGAUCUGUCUUUGAGUCAUUUCCGCUCCUGUAAGUAACCUCACAUUUGUAUUUCUGUAAGUAAUCUGGAUAAACCUCAUUGGUCUACCAAG